UACGUAGGUGGCAAGCGUUAUCCGGAUUUAUUGGGUGUAAAGGGAGCGUAGGCGGCGGUGCAAGUCAGAAGUGAAAGCCCGGGGCUCAACCCCGGGACUGCAUUGGAAACUGUUCAUCUAGAGUGCUGGAGAGGUAAGUGGAAUUCCUAGUGUAGCGGUAAAAUGCGUAGAUAUUAGGAGGAACACCAGUGGCGAAGGCGGCUUACUGGACAGUAACUGACGUUGAGGCUCGAAAGCGUGGGGAGCAAACAGG
rnacentral:rRNA from 1 species